rnacentral:lncRNA from 1 species
UGAUCCUUUGAUGUUUUAUUAGAACUAAUUGCAUAAAAAUUAAGAUAAGUACUCACUUUCGUAGGAAUCACGAUUGCACUUAGCAUGUGCAACAAGCCGUUAAACCCCUAGGUUACCCUAGUGGACGAGUGUUGUCUCGUGAGGGUUUUCAGAGAUGUUACCCACAAAUAUCAUGAAUGAUAUGACCUAAGAUUCUAAUAAAGAUAUGAAAUAAAUCUUAAGCUAAUACACAUGUAAUUAAUUGAUAUAUAUUUUCAAGCAUGGCAAUUGUCAAGGCAAGAAAAUAUAAAAGUGAAGUGUGCAUCAAAUCGCAUGACUUUCUCAGAGUACUAAUACCUCCACCACAACAGGGCACCGCCUGAGUUUUAGGUGCACUACUCAAGUCCACAA